UACGUAGGGGGCUAGCGUUGUCCGGAAUCAUUGGGCGUAAAGCGCGCGUAGGCGGCCAGAUAAGUCCGGUGUGAAAGUCACAGGCUCAACCUGUGAAUGCCGCUGGAAACUGUCUGGCUUGAGUCCGGAAGGGGCGAGUGGAAUUCCUGGUGUAGCGGUGAAAUGCGCAGAUAUCGGGAGGAACACCGGUGGCGAAGGCGGCAUCCUGGACCGACACUGACGCUGAGGCGCGAAAGCUAGGGUAGCAAACGGG
rnacentral:rRNA from 1 species